rnacentral:lncRNA from 1 species
CUUUGGAAAAGCUGCAUCAAAAACUAUGAUGAUACAAGUUAAUAUACAGUGCUUUGCCACUGCAUCCUGACCCAUAUUGCAGCGGUUGGUCUCUUGAUUUCCACUUAGACAUCAAAGCUGUGGACAUUCUGUAUCACCUGCGGCAACUUAGGUUGCCCGUCUGUGCUGAGGAGGACUGGGGAGCUGCUGUGCAGGUAUCACCUAGCUGCAGAAAGAUUCUUCAGAAAGCAAACCACCGUGACGUGGACCUUGUCUGAUAUUUAUCUUUCCAGCUGGCGUUCCUUGGUUACCCCACACUCUUCUGAAAAUUGCCAGUCAGCUUUGAAAGGAAGCUGAAGUUGCCAGGUUAUAUCAGGUCCAGGGACUUUCAUAACAGCAGAGAGUAGCUGACGGUGGGAACAGACCAGUGUGCGUGGUUCUGCUGCCACAUCAGAAGCCAACUUCAUCAAAAGAGACACAGUGCCGUUCAUAAGGAAGAAAAGAAAAAGAAUCAUGUUCCUAGGCAGCCAAAAUGCAGAUGGUAGGGGCAUUUAAGGAAAAACACAUAUGAACUAUGCAUUUCAAAACCCAUUAGUCAUUUACAGAUAUAGGCAGGUCAGUCUAAACAACUAAAUCUUGUGCCUGUUUGAAUAAUACUUACAUGAUUAGAGUUAUGACAGCUGCAAAGCAAGGCAGAAGAUUGAGGAGUAAGACCGUAUUUGGAGACUGGGACUGGCAACAGUAGAUUACCCUCGAACAAUCUAUUAAAUAGCAAUCAAUCAGGUAUGAAAGUUGGUCAGUGUCUGGAGAAAGGAAACUCCAAAAGUCUGUGACUGCAAAAAUGAAUAGGGAAGACCGCAGGCAAAGACAGAGGUGUACAAUUACUCCAGAAUGAGUAAACUCCCUUUGAAACUGUAUGCUAACUAUGCGUGCUGACUAACGCUACAUUACUUUUUCUAGUUUGUGAGACAUUCAGGAUUCACUAGUAAAAUACAAAUGGCCAUAAACACUGUAAAUGUUAAAGUGAAAAGCUGUAAAUCAGAGGGGCUGUUAGGUGCUUACAGUCGAAGAAAUGUCCUCGUUUUCUGACAUGCAUGUCAUUUGCAGCUCUCUGGCUUCAGUACUCAAUGGGGUUGAAGAAACUAAUAUCUGAGUAAUGGGAUGCAGAAUUUUUAAAAGGUUCAUUGAAGUAAUUAAAUGAAUGAGUGAUGCUAUUCAACAGUAUGACUGUACCCUAUAGUACCCUUUGGAAAAAGUAUUUAUCUAAAAAAACCUAUAAAUGCUCUAAUAGCAAGGUAUAACACAAGGUGGGCAACAUACAUAUCAAGAUAACUGAACAUAUUUUUAGCCAGAGAAUGAAAUUAUCUGCAGUUUUA